CCCCCAGGCUUGUCGCGAUGAAUCACUUACUCAGGGAGGGAGGAGAUGUUUCUAACAAUGGAUCAAAUUGUUAAAAUUAGUCUAUCACAUUUACAGAAUGUAAACGCUACAGCAAGGCUUUGGAAUCUCCAAAUGCCAUGUAGAACAGGCACAACGGAUGAAGGAGGGGGGAGGAAAACGAACAGCUUCAUUCUACCACACCUUCACCAAGUCAGACAAUGAUUACUUCAUGAAUAAUUGUUACAUCAGAAAUAAAUACAGAAUUAUUUUAGUUUA